CGAGGUUGUGAUGCACCCUGUCAGCAGAGCCAGGGCAGAGCCUAUUGUAGUUCGCUCGCUCUCGAUGGUCUUGUCUUAUUUUUAACAGCGGAAAGAAAAAUUGCGAAUACACCUUUCCGGAAUGUACGUCACCUUGGCUAUAGAGCCUGGUUUUCGUGAGGAGCCUGUGUGGCCAAGGUGAUGCACUCUCCAGAAGCGGGUAUUGAUUUAAAAAUCGAAAUGUACAGUGUAUUAAUGUACACUCUUUUGCGAAUAAUAUUAGUUCUGUAUUUGAGAUUAUAUACAGUAUUGAAGUUGCCAUGUUAUUCAAGAUCUUUAAUCAGCAUAACAACUAGUAACAAAGUUAAAAUCACUUUCCAUAAAGAAUGAACCAGUGUUUUCAAUAAGAGGCGGUUACCGAACUUACCGGCG